GCAUACCUUUCUACUCAUGCAUGCUUUAGCAAUUUCAAGAGCCUGAACGCCCCAAUAGCAGCAGUGCUAAAGCUCCUUUUGGGUUGAUUGCUUGUAAGUGCUGUGAUUCUUCCCACUGAACUAAGCUUAUGAUCUGUAAUUGGAGUACAUCCAUUGACCAUUGGGAACUUAGCCUCUGCUGUUGCAUAGGUUGGAUACACUCUCACAGGACAACAGGUUCGUAACACUGAUCUCCAAUAUGGGAAAUAACUUCUCCUUACAUAUUUAUAGGCAAUGAUAACUUCUUAUUCAUAUUCUUUCAAACACCUGGGUGUUAAUUGAUCCUUCUGCCCACCUUCUCAUAGGCUGAAGACUCUGAAUUGAAUAUGCAUUCCAAUAUUAUGAGUGCACUCCAUCUGGUUAUUUUGGAAAACUGAAAUUUGUUACAGGUAAAGAGGACAAUAUCUACUUGGUUUUUUUCUCAUUGUCUUUUGAAACUGUUAACUUUCUUUGUAGCUUUUUCCAGCUGUUAUUGAUGGAAGGGAAAGCCUAUGAUUCUACAGUAUAUUGAUUGGUCCCAUACUAUUUGCCUCUGCUUCCUUUUAUGUGUUCUAAUGCGGUCUAUACAUUAUUAUUUAGUAUGGAUUGGUGAAAAGAAUGAAUACUCUUCAUAGCUUAUGUUGCUGAUGAGAUAGGUAUAUAGAAGAUUAAUCAGUGCUAUUGUAGCAAUCUAUUAACACCAUUUUUUGACACGUGUUAGAAAAAAAGACGUCAAAAGGUAGCGAAGGUGCUGGUACAAGACGAAGGCUGGUAGAGUCGGCUGAUGGAGUCGCGGUAGCCCAGCCAAUGAAGUCAUAGUAUCCCAGCCGAUGGAGCCACAGUGGUCCGAUUUUUGCUCAACACAAUCCUACAUGUCUACUUCAGUACUUGAGUUAGUAGAAACCGUGUACAGGCAAAGGUGAAUACAAUUCUGUAGAACAAGAUAAAAUUACAGCAUGGGGAAGGUCGAAGAUGGCACUCAAGUGAUCAGUGUGUUAGUCUUAGUUUCCUUUGCAAAAUAAUUGUUUGUUAGCAUCAGAUGGCAGGCAUGAACUUAAGUGCUUUGUGCCUUCUUACUCAAAGUCCUGUACACUUCAUGCAUUUAAUCUGAUAGUUCAAGGCUUAGAUAUGAGCCACUUUAUGUGUUUUCAUAUUUGCUUUGACACUUAUGUAGAAUUGAUCCUUGUGUAUCUCAAUACGGCUAAAAAACAACAAAUUAUUAGAAUCGUAUGAUAACAAAGCACUAUAUUUUUAUACUCUUGUUAGGAGUUUUUUGUUUAUUUAAUACACUAUUAUCAUCAUAUUGAAUACUCAGUGUAUCAUAAUAUAAUAAAAUUUUUUCCACACGUAGCAACGCACGGGUACGAUCCUAGUCCUCUUUAAAAAUGUUUCGUAGCACAUAUACAGUAGUUCAGAAAAGAAGCCAAUUUCGUAAGAUUUUAGUUAUUCUUUGAUAACCACCUCUCGCGAGCGAACGAAUUUGAUGGCACGAUGAACAUUUCCCUAUAGUAUGUAAUUUCAGAGGCGGGUGGAAUUUGCAUUUUGAAGUCUGAGACACAAACCGACACGUUUGGGGGGGGGGGGGGAAGCACAUUUCCCAUUGCAUUAAGCCAAAGGCAUUGUGUAGGUCCAGGUCACCCACAAUUGUUAUUCAGUUAGUAUUACACGGCCAUUAACACACAAAGGCCAUAGUAGCAUAAGGUUUAGCCACAUCAAUGCCAUUUAAUUGGGAACAUCCACUAAAAAAACGCAACACUCAGUGACCAACCAGCUCGAUCUUGGAGAAACUUGCACGUUGUAACACCCAUUUGCCACCAGGCACCUGCUCAAACAAAAACAUGGUGGCACAAAGGUAUGUUGGAGCAUGGUGUCAUACAAACUUAAACAGCAGAAAACAAGACACGGUAAAAGAAUACCUAACCCUACCAAGUAAGUUACAGAAGUCCUAUCGGGCGAUUGGUCUUACUAGCAACUUCACCGCAUUAAUUCUAGUGGUUAUGUGGGACAUGUUCAGAAAAAUUGGGCCAGGGAAACAAAAUUUGUGGCAUACCUUUCUACUCAUGCAUGCUUUAGCAAUUUCAAGAGCCUGAACGCCCCAAUAGCAGCAGUGCUAAAGCUCCUUUUGGGUUGAUUGCUUGUAAGUGCUGUGAUUCUUCCCACUGAACUAAGCUUAUGAUCUGUAAUUGGAGUACAUCCAUUGACCAUUGGGAACUUAGCCUCUGCUGUUGCAUAGGGUGGAUACACUCUCACAGGACAACGGGUUCGUAACAGUGAUCUCCAAUAUGGGAAAUAACUUCUCCUUGCAUAUGUGGGAUCCCAUCCGCCACCUACUUCUGUUCUUGCAGCCU
rnacentral:lncRNA from 1 species